rnacentral:rRNA from 1 species
AGCGAACGCUGGCGGCAGGCCUAACACAUGCAAGUCGAACGAACCUUUCGGGGUUAGUGGCGGACGGGUGAGUAACACGUGGGAACGUGCCUUUAGGUUCGGAAUAACUCAGGGAAACUUGUGCUAAUACCGAAUGUGCCCUUCGGGGGAAAGAUUUAUCGCCUUUAGAGCGGCCCGCGUCUGAUUAGCUAGUUGGUUGAGGUAAUGGCUCACCAAGGCGACGAUCAGUAGCUGGUCUGAGAGGAUGAUCAGCCACAUUGGGACUGAGACACGGCCCAAACUCCUACGGGAGGCAGCAGUGGGGAAUCUUGCGCAAUGGGCGAAAGCCUGACGCAGCCAGGCCGCGUGAAUGAUGAAGGUCGUAGGAUUGUAAAAUUCUUUCACCGGGGACGAUAAUGACGGUACCCGGAGAAGAAGCCCCGGCUAACUUCGUG